UGGGGAAUUUUGGACAAUGGGCGAAAGCCUGAUCCAGCAAUGCCGCGUGUGUGAAGAAGGCCUUCGGGUUGUAAAGCACUUUUGUCCGGAAAGAAAUCCUUGGCUCUAAUACAGUCGGGGGAUGACGGUACCGGAAGAAUAAGCACCGGCUAACUACGUGCCAGCAGCCGCGGUAAUACGUAGGGUGCAAGCGUUAAUCGGAAUUACUGGGCGUAAAGCGUGCGCAGGCGGUUUGCUAAGACCGAUGUGAAAUCCCCGGGCUCAACCUGGGAACUGCAUUGGUGACUGGCAGGCUAGAGUAUGGCAGAGGGGGGUAGAGUUCCACGUGUAGCAGUGAAAUGCGUGGAGAUGUGGAGGAAUACCGAUGGCGAAGGCAGCCCCCUGGGCCAAUACUGACGCUCAUGCACGAAAGCGUGGGGAGCAAACAGGAUUAGAUACCCUGGUAGUCCACGCCCUAAACGAUGUCAACUAGUUGUUGGGGAUUCAUUUCCUUAGUAACGUAGCUAACGCGUGAAGUUGACCGCCUGGGGAGUACGGUCGCAAGAUUAAAACUUAAAUGAAUUGACGGGGUCAUAGCUGUUUCCU
rnacentral:rRNA from 1 species